AUAGGCAAGUGAAAGACAGCACCUGCAAGAGUUUUCCAUUGCAUAUAUCAACUUCUCUGAAUACAUAAUUCACCAGACAGGAUUAAAUUUCAUCCACUUCUCAAAAUGCCUUCCAGCUGUUUUAUUUAGUUAUUUGUUUUUUGGAGUAGGAGAUGACAACAAUUUUUUCAUCCUUUUGGAAAAAUUGAUACUUUUCUGAAAGAAUAGAUCAAAUAGGUAAACUUAAUCGAGUGCUAAAAUGUGGCAAACAACACUAAUUGACAAUGCCCAUGUGGAUA
rnacentral:misc_RNA from 1 species